rnacentral:lncRNA from 1 species
CUGGGUACAAGUACAAUCAUAAUCACUUGUCACACGUUGAGGAUACAUGUGCCCCUCAACCCAGGCCAGACUACACGAUGGAUGUGAAGAUAAUGGACCUGAGUGAGGCUUGAUUGGCAGAGAUGGUCCUGGCUGCUAAGGAUCAGCCUCCUCACCUUAAGCAGAUUUGAUCAUGAUCUCCAGCCAAAGGUUCAAUUCACCAGGACCUUGUGGAUUGGCCAACUGGUCCCCCUCCCAGCUACCAUUCCAGAGGAAGAUUCCAUGCUCCAUGGUGAGACAGCACUCUGGUGUGUUCAAGUCCUGAAAGAGAUCCAGAGAGGUAAGCUGCCCAUUAACAUACCCUACAUUUUCUUUCUUCUCUGUCCUGUUUCCCUUCUCCACAUCCUUAAUAAAAUAUUUACAUUCAUAUCCUUAUCUUAGUUCCACUACUCAGGGAUCCAAUGCUAAGAUCAAAUGGCUUCCUAAUUUAAAGAAAAUUGGAAGAUAUUGGGUUAAAGUUACACAGGUGUCUCCUUCUCAAGUCCUUAAUAUGCUAAUAUUUAUUGUGACUAUCAAAGGGAAUUGGUGUAGGGAUUAUUCCCAAACUUAAUUAGGAUCAUUUCUCUCCCAUUCCCAAGCAUUUUAUGAGAUUAGUUUGUGAGGAACAAACUUGGGAAUUAACUUUUGGGACAUUCUAACUCUAGCAAAACCUCCUUAUACAAAAUAUUUUGUGACAAGACGAUUAGCCUUAAAGAAUUAGGAAUUUUUAUAUUAGAAUUACUAGUUAUGAGUAGUUUGAAUAACCCAUCAUGGUUUUCAAAGGGUAAGACACUGAAAUGUUAUGAGGCCAUAACUUUAGCUUCAUUGUGGGUCAUCACCCUUGGUGAGUAGACAGUUAACUUAAAUGAUGGAGUCACCUCAGUCCCCACGAUCCCAGCAAGGAAGUCAUGGAAAUGAUAAAUGCAGUAACAUUUUCUGUGGCUUUGAUAGAAAUACAUUUUUGAUCUGGAGAGACAGAUAUGAUUCCCAUGUUAUAAAUGAGGAAACUAAAGCUCUCAGAAAGGUUAAGAGAAGUCUCCAAAGUCAUACUGCUAUAAAAAAAAUGACAAGUCCAGGGCCAGAAGGUUGAGCUUCAUCCUAGUCCAGUGCUCUCUCCUCUGUUCCUUAUUGCUUCCAUGUGAUAUGGGAGCAAGAAGAUUAGAAUGGAGAGAUGGGCUGGACUAGGAGAAUCCUAGUUCAAAAAAAUCUGGAGAACAGAACUGAGGGUUUGUUUUAUGGGCUAUUCAGUCAGUGGGUCUUUGUAUCUUUGGACAGAAAUCAAAGUCCAUGUUCCCUUUCCUAUUCAUUUCCCUUUCUGUGAUGUUCUGCUGCUUCUUCCUAAAGUACAUUAUGAUAGACAAGGUAGUGAAGAGGAUCUCCAUUCCAAUAUGUCUUAUGUUACAACCCCUUCUCUCUAUACAUUUACAUCUUUCUGAGAAACCUAACUUGUGGAUCACAUGUUUGGUUUCAGGAGAGGGUCUUGUGUUAACAUUGCUUUCUUGGUCUUCAAUUAAAGGACCAGUAGGGAUACAAGUUUUUGUUUGUUCUAUUGUUUGUUUGUUUGUUUACUUAAUCCUUAAGUACUUAUUAUUUUAAAUAGUAUUUUAAAGUAUUUUAAACAGUGAGAGCUUAAUGAUCUAAACAGGAAAAUUGGAAGCAAGGCUUAUAGUUCCAGGUCUGGGAAAAAAAAAAUCUACUGGAGACCUGUUAAAAUAAAAUAAAUGUUGAGAAGCUGCCCUUUAAGUUUUUCUAUUUUGUCUUGGAGUUUCUGCAUAAUAAAUUUGGGUGCUAUGUCACUAACAUAAUUUAACCAUAUAUCACUUAGUCUUUCUCUAGCUUCUGUGGUUUUUAAGAUGUCUACUACUCUGAAGAUAAUUCUAAGAGAUUCUGACAAUGACAAAUACUUUACGAAUGCUGGAAGGUAAAAUAAAACAAAAAAUAAAAA